rnacentral:rRNA from 1 species
AUAUAACUAAGCGGAGGAAAAGAAACUAACCAGGAUUCCCCCAGUAACGGCGAGUGAAGCGGGAAGAGCUCACGUUGUAAAUCUGACUUCGGUCCGAAUUGUAGUCUGGAGAGGCGAGACCAGCCGGCGGCGGGGGCGAAGUCUCUUGGAAAAGAGCAUCAAGGAGGGUGACAAUCCCGUUCUUGCCCCCAUCUCGUCGCGCGUACGGUCCGUUUUCUACGAGUCGAGUUGCUUGGGAUUGCAGCUCAAAGCGGGUGGUAAAUUCCAUCUAAAGCUAAACACGGGUGGGAGACCGAUAGCGAACAAGUACCGUGAGGGAAAGAUGCAAAGAACUUUGAAAAGAGAGUUAAAGAGUGCCUGAAAUUGCUGAAAGGGAAGCGAAGGAAACCAGUGUCUGGCGUUUUCGCUUACCUUUUGCCCCUCGGGGCAUUGGAUUGCGUUUAUGUCGUGGCCAGGGCCGGGUAGAGUUGCGGGAGCCUGCGCCUCGGAAGGUAGCUCGUCCUCGGACGGUGAAUACCGUGGUGUGUCGUCGCGAUUCUGGCCGGUUCUGACGAAAUGGUUUUCUUCAC